GGAGGCGAGCCGAAUUGGCUAGGAAGUGGAUUUGAAAUCCAUCGUCGGGCAACCGAUUGCAGGUUCGAGUCCUGUCGCCUCCG
rnacentral:tRNA from 1 species